CUUCACCGUUCAUACUCGGAUUCCCCUUCAAGACUUCUUGAAUGAUGCAACUUUCGAGUGUCCGAUGCU
rnacentral:snoRNA from 1 species